UACAGAGGUCUCAAGCGUUGUUCGGAUUCAUUGGGCGUAAAGGGUGCGUAGGCGGCGGGGCAAGUCGGAUGUGAAAUCUCAGGGCUCAACCCUGAAACUGCAUUCGAUACUGCUCUGCUCGAGGACUGGAGAGGAGAUUGGAAUUCACGGUGUAGCAGUGAAAUGCGUAGAUAUCGUGAGGAAGACCAGUGGCGAAGGCGAGUCUCUGGACAGUUACUGACGCUGAGGAGCGAAAGCCAGGGGAGCAAACGGG
rnacentral:rRNA from 1 species